rnacentral:lncRNA from 1 species
CUCAGAUACAGGGGCUACUAAGUGGUCUCUCAUAAAGUCUGGAAAUAGGAUGAAGACCAGAGUUUGACAUGAUAUGUCAUGAAAGUUCUAGAUGCAAAGGAAACACAGCAGCAUUAACAUCUUUCCUGGGGUCCUUCUACAGCUGAUGAUGAUCUAUGGCAAUUGGAAAUGCACAUAGCUCACAGCAGGUGUCUCAACAAUGUCUGGCAUUUCCAAGGUGCUUCUACAUGGAAUUUCAAAAGACAAAAUGUUGCAGCUACAGCAAGAAGUAUAAGGAAGCAGGGGAACGGCCUGGUGGGCCUGGUAGGGCUCUGUGCACCUGAUGCAUAAUGUCUAAACAUAACUGCUAUGCGACCCUGGAAUAGCACAGCCUGUGCUCAAAAGGGUAAAGAAGAAAGAAGGAAGAGAGGUGAAUUACCUUUUCUAAGAAUAGGCAUGCACUUUGUCAGUCAUCACAGCUCCUCCCUAGUAAGCUUUCCAAGCUGGGAAACAAGGAAACUGGGUUACGUGUAAUAAAGAUAGCAGUCAAA